AUUGAACGCUGGCGGCAGGCCUAACACAUGCAAGUCGAGCGGUAGAGAGGUGCUUGCACCUCUUGAGAGCGGCGGACGGGUGAGUAAUACCUAGGAAUCUGCCUGGUAGUGGGGGAUAACGUUCGGAAACGGACGCUAAUACCGCAUACGUCCUACGGGAGAAAGCAGGGGACCUUCGGGCCUUGCGCUAUCAGAUGAGCCUAGGUCGGAUUAGCUAGUUGGUGAGGUAAUGGCUCACCAAGGCUACGAUCCGUAACUGGUCUGAGAGGAUGAUCAGUCACACUGGAACUGAGACACGGUCCAGACUCCUACGGGAGGCAGCAGUGGGGAAUAUUGGACAAUGGGCGAAAGCCUGAUCCAGCCAUGCCGCGUGUGUGAAGAAGGUCUUCGGAUUGUAAAGCACUUUAAGUUGGGAGGAAGGGCAUUAACCUAAUACGUUAGUGUUUUGACGUACCGACAGAAUAAGCACCG
rnacentral:rRNA from 1 species